CGAAGGGUGCAAGCGUUAAUCGGAAUUACUGGGCGUAAAGCGUGCGUAGGUGGUUUCUUAAGUCUGCUGUGAAAGCCCUGGGCUCAACCUGGGAAUGGCGGUGGAUACUGAGAAGCUAGAGUGCGGUAGAGGAGGGUGGAAUUCCCGGUGUAGCGGUGAAAUGCGUAGAGAUCGGGAGGAACAUCAGUGGCGAAGGCGGCCCUCUGGACCAGCACUGACGCUGAGGCACGAAAGCGUGGGGAGCAAACAGGAUUAGAUACCCUGGUAGUCCACGCCCUAAACGAUGCGGACUGGACGUUGGGCACAAUUCGGUGCUCAGUGUCGAAGCUAACGCGUUAAGUCCGCCGCCUGGGGAGUACGCUCGCAAGAGUG
rnacentral:rRNA from 1 species